rnacentral:rRNA from 1 species
CCUACGGGAGGCAGCAGUGAGGAAUAUUGGUCAAUGGACGAGAGUCUGAACCAGCCAAGUAGCGUGAAGGAUGACUGCCCUAUGGGUUGUAAACUUCUUUUAUAAAGGAAUAAAACGAGGCACGUGUGCCUUUUUGCAUGUACUUUAUGAAUAAGGAUCGGCUAACUCCGUGCCAGCAGCCGCGGUAAUACGGAGGAUCCGAGCGUUAUCCGGAUUUAUUGGGUUUAAAGGGAGCGUAGAUGGGUUGGUAAGUCAGUUGUGAAAGGUUGCGGCUCAACCGUAAAAUUGCAAUUGAUACUGGCAGUCUUGAGGACAGUUGAGGUAGGCGGAAUUCGGGGUGUAGCGGUGAAAUGCUUAGAUAUCACGAAGAAACCCGAUUGCGAAGGCAGCUUACUAAACUGUGACUGACAUUGAUGCUCGAAAGUGUGGGUAUCAAACAGGAUUAGAUACCCGAGUAGUC